rnacentral:rRNA from 1 species
UACGUAGGGUGCGAGCGUUGUCCGGAAUUAUUGGGCGUAAAGGGCUCGCAGGCGGUUUGUCACGUCGGGAGUGAAAUCCAGGUGCUUAACACCUGGCCUGCUUCCGAUACGGGCAGACUAGAGGUAUGCAGGGGAGAACGGAAUUCCUGGUGUAGCGGUGAAAUGCGCAGAUAUCAGGAGGAACACCGGUGGCGAAGGCGGUUCUCUGGGCAUUACCUGACGCUGAGGAGCGAAAGUGUGGGGAGCGAACAGG